rnacentral:rRNA from 1 species
AGGGAGCCUGAGAAACGGCUACCACAUCUAAGGAAGGCAGCAGGCGCGCAAAUUACCCAAUUCUAAUACAGGGAGGUAGUGACAAGAAAUAACAAUACAGGACUUUUUGGUUUUGUAAUUGGAAUGAGUUAAGUAUAAACCCCUUUACAAGUAUCAAUUGGAGGGCAAGUCUGGUGCCAGCAGCCGCGGUAAUUCCAGCUCCAAUAGCGUAUAUUAAAGUUGUUGCAGUUAAAAAGCUCGUAGUUGGAU